GAUUUAUGGGUAGGAAAAUUUAAAUAAUGAUAAAUAAUUAAAGAUAACGAAACAAACGAUGAUAACGAUUCCGCUUUUCCACGAUAACGAUAACGAUGCGAGUUUCCACGAUAACGGUGCGAUGCGAGUUUUCCACGAUAACGAUGCGAUUCCACGAUAACGAUGCGAUGCGAGUUUUCCACGAUAACGAUGCGAUUCCACGAUAACGGUGCGAUGCGAGUUUUCCACGAUAACGAUGCGAUGCCACGAUAACGAUGCGAUUCCACGAUAACGGUGCGAUGCGAGUUUUCCACGAUAACGAUGCGAUGCGAGUUUUCCACGAUAACGAUACGAUGCCACGAUAACGAUGCGAUUCCACGAUAACGAUGCGAUGCGAAGUUUCCACGAUAACGAUGCGAUUCCACGAUAACGAUGCGAUUCCACGAUAACGAUGCGAUUCCACGAUAACGAUGCGAUUUCACGAUAACGAUGCGACUCCACGAUAACGAUGCGAUGCGAGUUUCCACGAUAACGAUGCGAUUCCACGAUAACGAUGCGAUUCCACGAUAAGAUUCCACGAUAGAUUUUCACGAUACGAUUUCACGAUGCGAUUCCACGAUAACAAGCGGUCGAUGGCGAUAGCGAAACAAAAUUACUUUCUACUUGCCUACGUUGGUCCUGGGACGAACCCUUCCUCCCCAAGGGCCCACCCCAGUCCCAUGUGUGAGGGCAGUGACGAGGCAACCUUGCAGCGCCUCACACGGGUCGCCAUGAGCAAGGACCCACCACACACCACUCCCCAACCACUGUCAUGAAGUGAGCCCUUUUCUCCCCUAAAGAACCCCUCGUACUGUCAGUGGCUGGUGCAUGGUGCGCAGCAUAUCCUCAUUCAUGGCGAGUUGUUCAGCCCGGUGCCAUCAUAAUCAAGGGACCCGUACACACCACUCAUCAGACUCUAUAGGAGGAAUCCUUAUCUCCCCAUAAGGGUCCCCCCUCCGGGCAACAUCUGGUGAAUGGUAGACAUUGGUCUCUUGCUUAAAGCGACUCCUUGCCUAGUGUGAGGCGCUGCAAGUGGACGACUACUAUUGAAGCUUGAGGCCGCAAAGGAAAAGGAGGACCUGCUGCCCGGUCUCUGUGCCUUGGGCCCCAGGCUCGACCUGACAGCCACCUCCUCCCCCCGUGCGGCGCCCAAGGCCGUCACGGCCCUCAACAAAUUUUGGCCGAAACUUUUCAAUCAUCAUUUAAUUUUGAGCCGAAUAUAAAAUCGUCGAUUGCAAGUGAAAAACGAGAUUGUUUGAAAAA